rnacentral:rRNA from 1 species
AGGAUGAAGGUUUUCGGAUUGUAAACUCCUGUCAUUUGGGAACAAACCUUUCAUUUAACUGAUGAAAGACUGAUAGUACCAGAAGAGGAAGAGACGGCUAACUCUGUGCCAGCAGCCGCGGUAAUACAGAGGUCUCAACCGUUGUUCGGAUUCAUUGGGCGUAAAGGGUGCGUAGGCGGUCGCGCAAGUCGGAUGUGAAAUCUCGAGGCUCAACCUCGAAACUGCAUUCGAUACUGCGUGGCUAGAGUGCUGGAGGGGAGACUGGAAUUUACGGUGUAGCAGUGAAAUGCGUAGAUAUCGUAAGGAAGACCAGUGGCGAAGGCGAGUCUCUGGACAGCAACUGACGCUGAGGCACGAAGGCCAGGGGAGCAAACGGGAUUAGAUACCCCGGUAGUCCUGGCAGUAAACGGUGCACGUUUGGUGUAGGCGGAUUCGACCCCGCCUGUGCCGGAGCUAACGCGUUAAACGUGCCGCCUGGGAAGUACGGUCGCAAGAUUA